GGAAUGGCUGAGCCAGGCUUAAAGCACCAGUUUGCUAAAUUGGCGUCCCAUCAGGGACCGUAGGUUCAAAUCCUUCUGGGUCCA
rnacentral:tRNA from 1 species